CUACGGGGGGCAGCAGUGAGGAAUAUUGCACAAUGGAGGAAACUCUGAUGCAGCAACGCCGCGUGGAGGAUGACGCAUUUCGGUGUGUAAACUCCUUUUAUAUGUCAAGAAAAUGACGGUAGCAUAUGAAUAAGCACCGGCUAACUCCGUGCCAGCAGCCGCGGUAAUACGGAGGGUGCAAGCGUUACUCGGAAUCACAGGGCGUAAAGGACGCGUAGGCGGGAUAUCAAGUCAGGUGUGAAAUCCUACAGCUUAACUGUAGAACUGCACUUGAAACUGGUAACCUAGAGUAUGGGAGGGGGAGAUGGAAUUAGUGGGGUAGGGGUAAAAUCCGUAGAUAUCACUAGGAAUACCUAAAGCGAAGGCGAUCUCCUGGAACAUAACUGACGCUAAGGCGUGAAAGCGUGGGGAGCAAACAGGAUUAGAUACCCCAGUAGUC
rnacentral:rRNA from 1 species